rnacentral:rRNA from 1 species
UACGUAGGGGGCAAGCGUUGUCCGGAAUCAUUGGGCGUAAAGCGCGUGUAGGCGGUCCGGUAAGUCCGCUGUGAAAGUCGGGGGCUCAACCCUCGGAUGCCGGUGGAUACUGUCGGGCUUGAGUACGGAAGAGGCGAGUGGAAUUCCUGGUGUAGCGGUGAAAUGCGUAGAUAUCUGGAGGAACACCGGUGGCGAAGGCGGCAUCCUGGACCAAUACUGACGCUGAGGAGCGAAAGCCAGGGGAGCAAACGGG